CUGGUUGAUCCUGCCAGUAGUCAUAUGCUUGUCUCAAAGAUUAAGCCAUGCAUGUCUAAGUUCAAGCGAAAAUAAAGUGAAACCGCGAAUGGCUCAUUACAUCAGUUAUGGUUCCUUAGAUCGCACUUACUACUUGGAUAACUGUGGUAAUUCUAGAGCUAAUACAUGCGCUGAGCUCCAACCCUCGUGGAAGGAGCGCUUUUAUUAGAUCAAAGCCAAUCGGGCCUUCGGGUCCGUUACAUUGGUGACUCUGAAUAACUUUGCUGAUCGCACGGUCUCGUACCGGCGACGUAUCUUUCAAGUGUCUGCCUUAUCAACUGUCGAUGGUAGGUUAUGCGCCUACCAUGGUGGUAACGGGUAACGGGGAAUCAGGGUUCGAUUCCGGAGAGGGAGCCUGAGAAACGGCUACCACAUCCAAGGAAGGCAGCAGGCGCGCAAAUUACCCACUCCCAGCUCGGGGAGGUAGUGACGAAAAAUAACGAUACGGAACUCUUAUGAGGCUCCGUAAUCGGAAUGAGUACACUUUAAAUCCUUUAACGAGGAUCUAUUGGAGGGCAAGUCUGGUGCCAGCAGCCGCGGUAAUUCCAGCUCCAAUAGCGUAUAUUAUGUUGCUGCGGUUAAAAAGCUCGUAGUUGGAUCUCGGUUUCGGGCGAGUGGUGCACCUUGCGGUGUUUACUGUUUGCCCGGACGAUCUUGUUGGUUCGUUAUGGUUCUCUUAACCGAGUGCCAUAAGUGGCCAGCACGUUUACUUUGAAAAAAUGGAGUGCUCAAAGCAGGCGCUACAGCCUGAACAUUAGUGCAUGGAAUAAUGGAAUAGGAUCUCGGUUCUAUUUCGUUGGCUUUCGGAGUCGAGGUAAUGAUUAAUAGGACAGACGGGGCAUUCGUACUGCGACGUUAGAGGUGAAAUUCUUGGAUCGUCGCAAGACGAACUACUGCGAAAGCAUUUGCCAAGAAUGUUUCAUUAAUCAAGAACGAAAGUUAGAGGUUCGAAGGCGAUCAGAUACCGCCCUAGUUCUAACCAUAAACGAUGUCGACCGGCGAUCCGCUAUCGUUAACUGAAUGACUUAGCGGGCAGCCUCCGGGAAACCAGAGUAUUUGGAUUCCG
rnacentral:ncRNA from 1 species